rnacentral:rRNA from 1 species
CCUACGGGGGGCUGCAGUAAGGAAUAUUGGGCAAUGGACGCAAGUCUGACCCAGCCAUGCCGCGUGAAGGAUGACUGCCCUAUGGGUUGUAAACUUCUUUUGUACGGGAAUAAACCCGGGUACGUGUACCCGGCUGAAUGUACCGUAAGAAUAAGGAUCGGCUAACUCCGUGCCAGCAGCCGCGGUAAUACGGAGGAUCCAAGCGUUAUCCGGAUUCAUUGGGUUUAAAGGGUGCGUAGGCGGAUUUGUAAGUCAGUGGUGAAAUCCUACAGCUUAACUGUAGAACUGCCAUUGAUACUGCAAGUCUUGAGUACAUUUGAUGUGGGCGGAAUGUGUCAUGUAGCGGUGAAAUGCUUAGAUAUGACACAGAACACCGAUUGCGAAGGCAGCUCACAAAACUGUAACUGACGCUGAGGCACGACAGCGUGGGGAUCAAACAGGAUUAGAUACCCUGGUAGUC